rnacentral:rRNA from 1 species
GGCUGAAAUUCGCCUUUAUGAAGCCGGAAUUGCUAGUAAUGGCAGGUCAGCAUACUGCCGUGAAUACGUUCCCGGGCCUUGUACACACCGCCCGUCACACCAUGAGAGUUGGGGAUACCCGAAGCCUGUGAGCCAACAGUUAAAUGGGGCAGCAGUCGAAGGUAGAAUCAAUGAUUGGGGUGAAGUCGUAACAAGGUAAC